GUUAUUGUAGCAUAUAAAAAUGUUUUUGUUUUAAGAUCAAAAGAAUGUUGUAACU
rnacentral:tRNA from 1 species